rnacentral:tRNA from 1 species
GGGGAUUUGGCUCAGUGGUAGAGCGCUUGCCUAGCAAACGCAAAGGCCCUGGGUUCGGUCCCCAGCUCCG